AUUGAACGCUGGCGGCAGGCCUAACACAUGCAAGUCGAACGAGUGGCGGACGGGUGAGUUAUGUCUGGGAAACUGCCUGCUGGAGGGGGAUAACUACUGGAAACGGUAGCUAAUACCGCAUACCAUCGGAUCUGCCCAGAUGGGAGUAGCUAGUCGGUGGGGUAAAGGCUCACCUAGGCGACGAUCCCUAGCUGGUCUGAGAGGAUGAUCAGCCACACGGGAAAGGAGACACGGUCCAGACGCCUACGGGAGGCAGCAUUGGGGAAUAUUGCACAAGGGGCGCAAGCCUGAUGCAGCCAUGCCGCGUGUAUGAAGAAGGCCUUCGGGUUGUAAAGGACUUUCAGCGGGGAGGCGUUACCCGCAGAAGAAGCACCGGCUAACUCCGUGCCAGCAGCCGCGGUAAUAC
rnacentral:rRNA from 1 species